GACGGUACUUGAGGAAUAAGCCACGGCUAAUUCCGUGCCAGCAGCCGCGGUAAUACGGGAGUGGCAAGCGUUAUCCGGAAUUAUUGGGCGUAAAGCGUCCGCAGGCGGCCUUGAAAGUCUGUUGUUAAAGCGUGGAGCUCAACUCCAUUUAAGCAAUGGAAACUACAAGGCUAGAGUGUGGUAGGGGCAGAGGGAAUUCCCGGUGUAGCGGUGAAAUGCGUAAAUAUCGGGAAGAACACCAGUGGCGAAGGCGCUCUGCUGGGCCAUAACUGACGCUCAUGGACGAAAGCCAGGGGAGCGAAAGGGAUUAGAUACCCCUGUAGUCCUGGCCGUAAACGAUGAACACUAGGUGUCGGGAGAAUUAACCCCUCCGGUGUCGUAGCCAACGCGUUAAGUGUUCCGCCUGGGGAGUACUCACGCAAGUGUGAAACUCCUAGGAAUUGACGGGGGCCCGCACAAACGGUGGAGUAUGUGGUUUAAUUCGAUGCAACCCGAAGAACCUUACCAGGUUUGACAUCCUGCGAAUCCCUUGGAAACGAGGGAGUGCUUUCGGGAACGCAUGACAGGUGGUGCAUGGCUGUCGUCAGCUCGUGUCGUGAGAUGUUGGGUUAAGUCACGCAACGAGCGCAACCCACGUCUUUAGUUGCCAGCAUUCAGUUGGGCACUCUAGAGAGACCGACGGUGAUAACCGGAGGAAGGUGUGGAUGACGUCAAGUCAUCAUACCCCUUACAUCGUGGGCUACACACGUACUACAAUGUACGGACAAAGGGCAGCAAACUCGCGAGAGCUAGCAAAUCCCAUAAACCGUGGCUCAGUUCAGAUCGUAGGCUGCAACUCGCAACGUGAAGGAGGAAUCGCUAGUAAUCGCAGGUCAGCAUACUGCGGUGAAUACGUUCCCGGGCCUUGUACACACCGCCCGUCACACCAUGGAAGUUGACCAUGCCCGAAGUCGUUACUCCAACCCGCAGGGGAGGAGGACGC
rnacentral:rRNA from 1 species